rnacentral:misc_RNA from 1 species
UACGGAGGGUGCAAGCGUUAAUCGGAAUUACUGGGCGUAAAGCGCACGCAGGCGGUCUGUCCAGUCGGAUGUGAACUCCCCGGGCUCAACCUGGGAACUGCAUCCGAAACUGGCAGGCUAGAGUCUUGUAGCGGGGGGUAGAAUUCCAGGUGUAGCGGUGAAAUGCGUAGAGAUCUGGUGGAAGACCGGUGGCGAAGGCGGCCCGCUGGACAAAGACGGACGCUCAGGUGCGAAAGCGGGGGGAGCAAACAGG